rnacentral:rRNA from 1 species
UACGUAGGGGGCGAGCGUUGUCCGGAUUCAUUGGGCGUAAAGCGCGCGUAGGCGGCCCCGCAAGUCGGCCGUGAAAUCUCCCAGCUCAACUGGGAGGGGUCGGGCGAGACUGCGGGGCUCGAGGUGGGUAGAGGGCAGUGGAAUUCCGGGUGUAGUGGUGGGAAUGCGUAGAGAUCCGGAGGAACACCAGUGGCGAAGGCGGCUGCCUGGGCCUGGCCUGACGCUGAGGCGCGAAAGCGUGGGGAGCGAUCCGG